rnacentral:rRNA from 1 species
AUGAAUGACUUUAUCCAGCGACCUUAUGAAGCGGAGGAGGUGAAAAAGGCGUUGUUUGAUAUGGCACCAUCCAAGGCCCCAGGGGUGGAUGGCUUCAUGGCUGGUUUCUAUCAACGACAUUGGAAUGUUCUAGGUGAGGAUAUAACAAUGGUCGUGCUUGCCUUUCUGAACGGGGGAGAGUUACCUCUAGGCUUGAAUGAUACUGCCAUCACGCUGAUUCCUAAGGUACGACACCCGCAGAAAAUCUCACAAUUUCGUCCCAUCGCCUUAUGCCCGGUGCUCUACAAAAUUGCAGUCAAAGCAAUUUCCAAUAGACUCCGUGACAUCCUGGACGAGAUUAUAGGGGCAGAACAAAGUGCAUUUGUACCUGGUCGCUUAAUUACAGAUAAUGUACUUGUGGCUUACGAGACUAUCCAUGCUAUUAAGCGGAGGAAAAAGGGAAAGAAUUGUUGUUGUGUUGUUAAACUGGACAUGCUCAAGGCUUAUGACAGAGUGGAAUGGCACUAUCUCGAAGCAAUGCUAACAAGGCUGGGCUUUGGAGAUGCUUUUAUACGCCUGGUUAUGAAAUGUGUCACUUCUGUUCGGUUCACGAUUAAGCUGAAUGGCGAGCUACUACCGUAUUUCACUCCACGAGGUUUACGGCAAGGAUGCCCCAUCUCGCCGUACCUCUUCCUGCUGUGUGCUCAAGGCCUUACCUCACUUCUGAAUAAUUUUGGCGGAGCACAUAUUGAUCGAGGAAUUAGGGUGAGUAUCCAUGCACCUUGGGUUAAUUACUUGCUUUUUGCUGACGACUGUCUUAUCUUCCUGAAUGCGCAAACCCAGAGUGCGGAUAGACUGAACGAUAUUCUCCGGAUUUACGCUGAUUGUUCUGGACAAGCAGUGAAUAAGGAGAAAAGCUCUAUAUUUUUUAGUGCCAAUACACAUCAACCCACACGGCAGGCACUCAAGCAAUCUUUGGACAUACAUGUUGAGGCCUUCUCGGAGCGCUACUUGGGCUUACCUACAGCUAUUGGCAAGAUAACUAGUGGGAUGUUUGAUCAUAUUGUUGAUCGAUGUCGAAGUAAGUUACACGGCUAUUCUGAAAGGAACAUGGCUUGUGCGGCACGAGAGGUUUUGCUCAAAACAGUGGUUCAGGCCAUUCCUACCUACAGUAUGAGCUGCUUUCUGCUUACAAAAAAGGUGUGCAAGAGUAUCAUUUCAUGCAUGGCCAAAUAUUGGUGGGGGAGUUCCAUAGACAAACGCACACUCCAC